AGAGUUUGAUCCUGGCUCAGGAUGAACGCUAGCGCNAGGCUUAACACAUGCAAGUCGAGGGGCAGCAUGUCCAGCAAUGGAUGAUGGCGACCGGCGGAAGGGUGCGUAACGCGUGAGCAACAUGCCCUAUACAGGGAGAUACACCAGGGAAACUUGGUCUAAUAUCCCAUAGCAUUCAUUGAAGGCAUCUUUAAUGAAUUAAAGCUUCGGUGGUAUAGGAUUGGCUCGCGUGACAUUAGCCAGAUGGUGAGGUAACGGCUCACCAUAGCAAUGAUGUCUAGGGGUUUUGAGAGGAAGGCCCCCCACACUGGGACUGAGACACGGCCCAGACUCCUACGGGAGGCAGCAGUGAGGAAUAUUGGACAAUGGAUGGAAAUCUGAUCCAGCCAUGCCGCGUGCAGGAAGACGGCCUUAUGGGUUGUAAACUGCUUUUAUACGGGAGCAAUAAGGGUUACGAGUAAUCCGAUGAGAGUACUGUAUGAAUAAGGAUCGGCUAACUCCGUGCCAGCAGCCGCGGUAAUACGGAGGAUCCGAGCGUUAUCCGGAAUUAUUGGGUUUAAAGGGUGCGUAGGCGGCCAUUUAAGUCAGCGGUGAAAUUUUGCAGCUUAACUGUAACAGUGCCGUUGAUACUGUUUGGCUAGGAUUUGGUUGUAGUGUGCGGAAUGUGUGGUGUAGCGGUGAAAUGCUUAGAUAUCACACAGAACACCGAUUGCGAAGGCAGCACACUAAGUCAUUAUUGACGCUGAGGCACGAAAGUGUGGGGAUCAAACAGGAUUAGAUACCCUGGUAGUCCACACUGUAAACGAUGAUAACUCGCUGUCGGCGAUACACAGUCGGUGCCAAGCGAAAGC
rnacentral:rRNA from 1 species